rnacentral:rRNA from 1 species
GAUGAACGCUGGCGGCGUGCCUAACACAUGCAAGUCGAGCGAGAAACCUGCGAGUUGAUACUUCGGUUGAAACAUGCAGGCGGAAAGCGGCGGACGGGUGAGUAACGCGUAGGCAACCUGCCCCAUGCAGAGGGAUAGCCUCGGGAAACCGGGAUUAAAACCUCAUAAUGCGCAGACGAGACAUCUCGACUGCGCCAAAGAUUUAUCGGCAAGGGAUGGGCCUGCGUCUGAUUAGUUAGUUGGUGAGGUAACGGCUCACCAAGGCGACGAUCAGUAGCCGACCUGAGAGGGUGAUCGGCCACAUUGGAACUGAGACACGGUCCAA